rnacentral:rRNA from 1 species
UACGUAGGGGGCAAGCGUUGUCCGGAUUUAUUGGGCGUAAAGAGCGUGUAGGCGGCCUGAAAGGUCAGCUGUGAAAACUCGAGGCUUAACCUCGAGACGUCGGUUGAAACCAUCUGGCUAGAGUCCGGAAGAGGAGUGUGGAAUUCCCGGUGUAGCGGUGAAAUGCGCAGAUAUCGGAAGGAACACCGGUGGCGAAAGCGGCGCGCUGGAUCUCUUCUGACGCUGAGGCGCGAAAGCCAGGGGAGCAAGCGGGG